rnacentral:rRNA from 1 species
ACGUAGGGUGCGAGCGUUAAUCGGAAUUACUGGGCGUAAAGCGUGCGCAGGCGGUUAUAUAAGACAGAUGUGAAAUCCCCGGGCUCAACCUGGGACCUGCAUUUGUGACUGUAUAGCUAGAGUACGGUAGAGGGGGAUGGAAUUCCGCGUGUAGCAGUGAAAUGCGUAGAUAUGCGGAGGAACACCGAUGGCGAAGGCAAUCCCCUGGACCUGUACUGACGCU